CCAGACUCCUACGGGAGGCAGCAGUGGGGAAUAUUGCACAAUGGGGGGAACCCUGAUGCAGCGACGCCGCGUGAGUGAAGAAGUAUUUCGGUAUGUAAAGCUCUAUCAGCAGGGAAGAAAAUGACGGUACCUGACUAAGAAGCCCCGGCUAACUACGUGCCAGCAGCCGCGGUAAUACGUAGGGGGCAAGCGUUAUCCGGAUUUACUGGGUGUAAAGGGAGCGCAGGCGGCACGGCAAGCCUGAUGUGAAAGGCCGCGGCCCAACCGCGGGACUGCAUUGGGAACUACCGGGCUGGAGUGACGGAGAGGUAGGCGGAAUUCCUAGUGUAGCGGUGAAAUGCGUAGAUAUUAGGAGGAACCCCAGUGGCGAAGGCGGCCUGCUGGACUGCAACUGACGUUGAGGCUCGAAGGCGUGGGGAGCAAACAGGAUUAGAUACCCCAGUAUGU
rnacentral:rRNA from 1 species